UACGUAGGGGGCGAGCGUUGUCCGGAGUUACUGGGCGUAAAGCGCACGCAGGCGGUCUGUUAAGUUUGGAGUGACAGUUGGUGGCUUAACUGCCAAAGUGCUUCGAAAACUGACAGACUUGAGGGCUUCAGAGGGACACGGAAUUCCGGGUGGAGUGGUGAAAUGCGUAGAGAUCGGGAGGAACAUCCAUGGCGAAGGCAGCUACCUGGACCAACACUGACACUGAGGCACGAAAGCGUGGGGAGCAAACAGG
rnacentral:rRNA from 1 species